UUGCCCCUACGGGGGGCAGCAGUGAGGAAUAUUGGUCAAUGGGCGAGAGCCUGAACCAGCCAAGUCGCGUGAGGGAAGACGGUCCUAUGGAUUGUAAACCUCUUUUGUCGGGGAGCAAAAGCCGGACGUGUCCGGCUGUGAGAGUACCCGAAGAAAAAGCAUCGGCUAACUCCGUGCCAGCAGCCGCGGUAAUACGGAGGAUGCGAGCGUUAUCCGGAUUUAUUGGGUUUAAAGGGUGCGCAGGCGGAUUUUUAAGUCAGCGGUCAAAUCGUGGGGCUCAACCCCAUCCAGCCGUUGAAACUGGG
rnacentral:rRNA from 1 species